rnacentral:misc_RNA from 1 species
AAGGAUCAUUAAUGAAUUACAAGUCGGCCGUCUGUGCUGGUGGCAACACAUGUGCACGUCGGUCGCAAAUCCACACACCUGUGCACCUUUGACUUUGGGAUCCGCCGGUCUUUUGACUCGCAGCAGGUCGGCUCUGUGCCGUCCUGGAUCUCAGAGUAAUUUUACACACUCUUGAAUGUAAUGGAAUGUCUCUGUGCAUAACGCGCAAAUAUACAACUUUCAACAACGGAUCUCUUGGCUCUC